GAUGAACGCUGGCGGCGUGCCUAAUACAUGCAAGUCGAGCGAACAGAUGAGGAGCUUGCUCCUCUGACGUUAGCGGCGGACGGGUGAGUAACACGUGGAUAACCUACCUAUAAGACUGGGAUAACUUCGGGAAACCGGAGCUAAUACCGGAUAAUAUAUUGAACCGCAUGGUUCAAUAGUGAAAGACGGUUUUGCUGUCACUUAUAGAUGGAUCCGCGCCGCAUUAGCUAGUUGGUAAGGUAACGGCUUACCAAGGCAACGAUGCGUAGCCGACCUGAGAGGGUGAUCGGCCACACUGGAACUGAGACACGGUCCAGACUCCUACGGGAGGCAGCAGUAGGGAAUCUUCCGCAAUGGGCGAAAGCCUGACGGAGCAACGCGGCGUGAGUGAUGAAGGUCUUCGGAUCGUAAAACUCUGUUAUUAGGGAAGAACAAAUGUGUAAGUAACUAUGCACGUCUUGACGGUACCUAAUCAGAAAGCCACGGCUAACUACGUG
rnacentral:rRNA from 1 species